rnacentral:rRNA from 1 species
GUGCAGGAUGACGGCCCUAUGGGUUGUAAACUGCUUUUAUACGGGAAGAAAUAUACCUACGUGUAGGUAUUUGACGGUACCGUAAGAAUAAGCACCGGCUAACUCCGUGCCAGCAGCCGCGGUAACACGGAGGGCGCAAACGUUGCUCGGAAUCACUGGGCAUAAAGCGCACGUAGGCGGCCGUCUAAGUCGGGUGUGAAAGCCCUCGGCUCAACCGAGGAAU